AUUGAACGCUGGCGGCAUGCCUUACACAUGCAAGUCGAACGGUAACAGGUCUUCGGAUGCUGACGAGUGGCGAACGGGUGAGUAAUACAUCGGAACGUGCCCGAUCGUGGGGGAUAACGAGGCGAAAGCUUUGCUAAUACCGCAUACGAUCUACGGAUGAAAGCGGGGGAUCUUCGGACCUCGCGCGGACGGAGCGGCCGAUGGCAGAGUAGGUAGUUGGUGGGAUAAAAGCUUACCAAGCCGACGAUCUGUAGCUGGUCUGAGAGGAUGAUCAGCCACACUGGGACUGAGACACGGCCCAGACUCCUACGGGAGGCAGCAGUGGGGAAUUUUGGACAAUGGGCGAAAGCCUGAUCCAGCCAUGCCGCGUGCAGGAUGAAGGCCUUCGGGUUGUAAACUGCUUUUGUACGGAACGAAAAGCCUCUUUCUAAUAAAGAGGGGUCAUGACGGUACCGUAAGAAUAAGCACCGGCUAACUACGUG
rnacentral:rRNA from 1 species